UACAGAGGGCCUGAGCGUUGUUCGGAUUCAUUGGGCGUAAAGGGUGCGUAGGCGGUUUUCUAAGUUUGAUGUGAAAUCCCGGGGCUUAACCCUGGAAUUGCAUUGAAUACUGGGAGACUAGAGUACUGGAGAGGAAACUGGAAUUUACGGUGUAGCAGUGAAAUGCGUAGAGAUCGUAAGGAAGACCAGUGGCGAAGGCGAGUUUCUGGACAGUUACUGACGCUGAGGCACGAAGGCCAGGGGAGCAAACGGG
rnacentral:rRNA from 1 species